CUUUACCAGUGAAAAGAGUCAAAAUAGAAGUAUACCCAAGUACAUCCAAGUUAAAUAGAAGAUGCAAGUCUCCUACCAGACAUAGUACCAGGUCUCCGGACACAGAUGACCUGGUAUGCAGAGUGUGCAAAAGAACCUUCCAUUCGAAAGGCCCAUUUACUAAUCAUAUAAAAACACAUCAAAAUGAAAUUAAAAUAGAAGUAUACCCAAGUACAUCCAAGUUAAAUAGAAGAUGCAAGUCUCCUACCAGACAUAGUACCAGGUCUCCGGACACAGAUGACCUGGUAUGCAGAGUGUGCAAAAGAACCUUCCAUUCGAAAGGCCCAUUUACUAAUCAUAUAAAAACACAUCAAAAUGAAAUUAAAAUAGAAGUAUACCCAAGUACAUCCAAGUUA